AGGGAAUCUUCCGCAAUGGACGAAAGUCUGACGGAGCAACGCCGCGUGAGUGAUGAAGGCCUUCGGGUCGUAAAACUCUGUUGUUAGGGAAGGACAAGUAUCGGAGUAACUGCCGGUACCUUGACGGUACCUAACCAGAAAGCCACGGCUAACUAAGUGCCAGCAGCCGCGGUAAUACGUAGGUGGCAAGCGUUGUCCGGAAUUAUUGGGCGUAAAGCGCGCGCAGGCGGUCCUUUAAGUCUGAUGUGAAAGCCCACGGCUCAAGCGUGGAGGGUCAUUGGAAACUGGGGGACUUGAGUGCAGAAGAGGAAAGCGGAAUUCCACGUGUAGCGGUGAAAUGCGUAGAGAUGUGGAGGAACACCAGUGGCGAAGGCGACUUUCUGGACUGUAACUGACACUGAGGCUCGAAAGCGUGGGGAGCAAAC
rnacentral:rRNA from 1 species